UACGUAGGGUGCAAGCGUUAAUCGGAAUUACUGGGCGUAAAGCGUGCGCAGGCGGUGAUGUAAGACCGAUGUGAAAUCCCCGGGCUUAACCUGGGAACUGCAUUGGUGACUGCAUCGCUAGAGUAUGGCAGAGGGGGGUGGAAUUCCACGUGUAGCAGUGAAAUGCGUAGAGAUGUGGAGGAACACCGAUGGCGAAGGCAGCCCCCUGGGCCAGUACUGACGCUCAUGCACGAAAGCGUGGGGAGCAAACAGG
rnacentral:rRNA from 1 species